AACGAACGCUGGCGGCAUGCCUAACACAUGCAAGUCGAACGAGACCUCAGGGUCUAGUGGCGCACGGGGGCGUAACGCGGGGGAAGCGGCCCUUAGGUUCGGGAUAAUACCUUGUAAUGGGUGCUAAUACAGGGAAAUGUACUCGGACCAAGGAUUUAUCGCCAUGGGGUGGGCCGGCGUUGUCUUGGCCAGUGGGUAUGGUAAAAGCCUACCAAGGCGUCGAUCCAUAGCUGGGCUGAGAGGAAGAGCAGCGACACUGGGGCUAAGACACGGGCCCGACUACUACGGAAUGCAGGCGAGGCUAAUAUAGGACAACGGGCGGAAGCCAGAUCCCCCUAUGCCGCGUAAGUCAUUAAGGCCUUAGAGAUGUAAAGCUCUUUUACCCGCCACGAUAAUGACGGUACCCAGAGAAUAAGCUCCGGCUAACUCCGUG
rnacentral:rRNA from 1 species